AACCAGUCGCAUUUAGAGAUCUACAACUGGGAUGCUCAGAGCUGUAAAUACCUCAACAGAGAGACGGCUGCAAAAUCACCCUGUUACUGAACCCAAGCUCAGCCUGCAUCGUGAUUGGACAGCUGUCACACUCUGGAAUUCCCCAUUCUCCAAAAAUGACCUAUUCUCACAUGAUCACUGCUAAGCGGCCCCAUAGCUGUGGCACUAUUACCCAGAGGUGUCCCCCACCCUGUGAAAGAAAUCAAGCAGAGCAGCAAGGAGGAACCGAGCUGUACACUUCGGCUGCUGGACUGAUUCUAAUUCUGCAAUGAACAGGAGUGAGAUUACCGUGGCAGGCUGCCCUCUGCCACCCUUGGCCUGCAGGCAUUCUGCGAGGAGAUCUGGCGCUGUGCAACUUCUGGGUCUUCCACAAAGUCAAAAUGACCACGAAAAGGAAAUGCUUUGAAUCAAUUUGAGGCAUCGAGGCAGCUGUGACAGCAUCAUUAAAGACCCUCAGGAAAGAGGACUCCAGAAGGGCUACAGAAAGCGGUGAUAACUCGGGAUGAGUGCGUUGGAAGGGAGGGGAGGACUCCUGGCAAUGGGUCUUUGCUGUAAUAAAAGAUGCAUUCAUGGUUA